rnacentral:rRNA from 1 species
UAGUCCACGCCGUAAACGAUGAUAACUAGCUGUCCGGGCACUUGGUGCUUGGGUGGCGCAGCUAACGCAUUAAGUUAUCCGCCUGGGGAGUACGGCCGCAAGGUUAAAACUCAAAGGAAUUGACGGGGGCCUGCACAAGCGGUGGAGCAUGUGGUUUAAUUCGAAGCAACGCGCAGAACCUUACCAGCGUUUGACAUGUCCGGACGAUUUCCAGAGAUGGAUCUCUUCCCUUCGGGGACUGGAACAC